rnacentral:rRNA from 1 species
UCCGUAGGUGAACCUGCGGAGGGAUCAUUACCGAGUUUACAACUCCCAAACCCCUGUGAACAUACCACUUGUUGCCUCGGCGGAUCAGCCCGCUCCCGGUAAAACGGGACGGCCCGCCAGAGGACCCCUAAACUCUGUUUCUAUAUGUAACUUCUGAGUAAAACCAUAAAUAAAUCAAAACUUUCAACAACGGAUCUCUUGGUUCUGGCAUCGAUGAAGAACGCAGCAAAAUGCGAUAGUAAUGUGAAUUGCAGAAUUCAGUGAAUCAUCGAAUCUUUGAACGCACAUUGCGCCCGCCAGUAUUCUGGCGGGCAUGCCUGUUCGAGCGUCAUUUCAACCCUCAAGCACAGCUUGGUGUUGGGACUCGCGUUAAUUCGCGUUCCCCAAAUUGAUUGGCGGUCACGUCGAGCUUCCAUAGCGUAGUAGUAAAACCCUCGUUACUGGUAAUCGUCGCGGCCACGCCGUUAAACCCCAACUUCUGAAUGUGACCUCGGAUCA